GACGAACGCUGGCGGCGUGCUUAACACAUGCAAGUCGAACGGAAAGGCCCUGCUGUGGUGGGGUGCUCGAGGGGCGAACGGGUGAGUAACACGUGAGUAACCUGCCCUUUACUGUGGGAUAACUUCAGGAAACUGGGGCUCAUACCGGAUAGGAGCUCCUGCUGGAUGGGGGUGGGUGGAAAGUUCGGGGGGUGGGGGAUGGACUCGCGGCUUAUCAGUUUGUUGGUGGGGUGGUGGCUUACCAAGGGGCUGACGGGUAGCCGGCCUGGGGGGGGGACCGGCACAAUUGGGACGGGGUUACGGCCAGGACUCCUACGGGAGGAAGCAGUGGGGAAUUUUGAAAAAGGGGCGGAAGCCGAUGGCAGCAACGCCGCGUGCGGGAUGACGGCCUUCGGGUGGUAACCGGCUUUAGCAUGUGACGAAGCGUGUGUGACGGUACUGGGAAAAGAAGCACCGGCUAACUACGUG
rnacentral:rRNA from 1 species